GGCGUACGGGUGAGUAACACGUGGAUAAUCUUCCAUCAGGUGGGGAAUAACCAAUCGAAAGAUUGGCUAAUACCGCAUAAGACCACAAUCUCUUCGGAGAAAGGGGUUAAAGCCUUCGGGCGCCUUUUGAUGAGUCUGCGUCCCAUUAGCUAGUUGGUGAGGUAAAAGCUUACCAAGGCGACGAUGGGUAGCUGGUCUGAGAGGAUGAUCAGCCACACUGGGACUGACACACGGCCCAGACUCCUACGGGAGGCAGCAGUAGGGAAUCUUGCACAAUGGACGAAAGUCUGAUGCAGCGACGCCGCGUGAGUGAUGAAGGCCUUCGGGUUGUAGAGCUCUGUUCUCAGGGAAUAAAAAAAUGAAGGUACCUGAGGAGAAAGGACCGGCUAACUUCGUGCCAGCAGCCGCGG
rnacentral:rRNA from 1 species